rnacentral:rRNA from 1 species
GAGGAAGGUGGGGAUGACGUCAAGUCCUCAUGGCCCUUAUGUCCUGGGCUACACACGUGCUACAAUGGCGGUGACAGUGGGAAGCCAGGCAGCGAUGCCGAGCUGAUCCUCAAAAGCCGUCUCAGUUCGGAUUGUACUCUGCAACUCGAGUGCAUGAAGGUGGAAUCGCUAGUAAUCGCGGAUCAGCAUGCCGCGGUGAAUACGUUCCCGGGCCUUGUACACACCGCCCGUCACACCAUGGGAUUUGGUUUGACCUUAAGCUGGUGCGCUAACCGCAAGGAGGCAGCCAACCACGGUCGGGUUAGAGACUGGGGUGAAGUCGUAACAAGGUAGCCGUAA